rnacentral:lncRNA from 1 species
GGCAUCAGAAAAGUAUAAUAUAAAAUCGAAUCGUAGAUGGAUAUUAUAGUAAGUUGGAGAAUUUUAUAUAUAUAUAUAUAUUAUAGUAAGUUGGAGACUUUUAUAUAUAUAUAUAUAUUAUAGUAAGUUGGAGACUUUUAUAUAUACAUAAAUCUCUAUCUCUUAGAUCGUAAGAGUUUAAAAAAUUGUAAUUAUUCAUUGUUGGAUAUACUCAUUUGCGAGAGAUAGCUCAUUUUGUUUAUUGGCCUGGCCUGUCCACAUAUUAAUAUAUUCUUCAUCGUUGAUUCCGGGUCUUCUGUCCACUUAUAAAUGUCCAAGUCAGUAGUGUAAGGCCCGGCACAUUGAUAAUGACGUGAUGAC